rnacentral:lncRNA from 1 species
GGCCGGCUGCCCGGUGUAGGGUAGCUGCUGGUUGUCCAUUAAUUGUCACCUACACCUCGCUCGCGGUCGAUCGUUUGCCUCCUGGUUAGCUCUCGAGCUAGCCAGGACGCUAGCUGUGGCUGCGUGGGCAAAAAUCACGGCAAUCAGUGACCACUCACGUACGUGUUUAGGAAUGAAUUAUCGAUAUGUGCUCCACGUAUGUAACAACAGCUCGCAACAUGCAAAGUGUAAACGACACGCGUUGUAUUGAGAGAUCGAAAGAUUCAUAAGCUGCAUGCAGCCUCAGAAAAUCACCGUGUGCAAAAUUGCAGUGAGUGUAUACAUGAGAGUAGAGAUUAGGACGUAAUCCAGAGCUUGGUGGAUUAGCAUGCAUGUGCGGCGGAUCAAAAACAUGAGAACUCGAGGGUAGCUAUAGGUGCAAAGUGCAGAUAUAUAUGGGGUUCUACUUAUCACCUAGUUUCCGUCUUCAGAGAUCGAUCAGCAUGGAUAACAUGAACGAACUCGCUAUGCUGCCAAAGCUAUGACUGACAAGAUCGACAUUCUUGCAGUGUAGUAUUACUUCAUUUUUCAGAUCGGUGGGGUAUUCUCCUAAACUAUUUCGGGUCUCACCACAAGAAAAAUAAGAAACGGCCGGAUGACUUCAGAUUAAGUAGAUCAUAUGUCUACUUUUGGUUCUCUAAUCAAAUAGAGGAAACGAAAAAAGAACACUGAGGAAGAUGCAGAAGUUGAAGGCACUGAAAGAUGUAAUGCCACAUAACUCACUGACUGCAAGAACUGGCUCGAACAUAAGUUGGAAAAUCGAACUAUCCAUUAGAAAAUGCAAUGGUUGAUUCACACAUGCAUGCGGAUCUCAACUAAUUACUUAAGUUCUUACCAGAAAGCAAACCAGGAUAUAUAUCCUGUUUGAGCGAAGAAUGAGCUCUUGCCCUGCUGCUUCAGAUAUCCAAAGGUCUCAGAUCGAGUAACUAAGAACAGCUCCUCGAUCCUUAGCAGCAGCAAAAGUAUCAAACGCUUUAGCACGCAUGGGGAUCGUCAGGGAAGCAGCAGGGCACACUCCUCACCGUCUUUCCCACUGCCUAGUUAGUGCCUGAACAAAAUGACCAACUCGAUCCCC